AAAAAUGUUUUAUAAAUACAAAAUUAGUUUUAAUAAAUAUAAAUAUUUUUAUAAAUAUGAAAUCAUCUUUUAUAAAUCCAAAAAUCGAAUUUAUAUACAAAAAACGUUUUGUAUAUUUAAAAAUAGUUUUUAUAAAUACAAAAAUAAUAAAAUAGUGUUUAUAAAUCAAAAAAAUGUUCUAUAAAUACAAAAUACAAAAAAAUGUUUUAUAAAUACAAAAUUAGUUUUAUAAAUAUAAAUAAUUAUAGAUAUGAAAUCAUCUUUUUAUAAAUACAAAAUAGUUUUUAUAAAUACAAAAACUAAUAAAAUAGUGUUUAUAAAUCAAAAAAAUGUUUUAUAAAUACAAAAUUAGUUUUAAUAAAUAUAAAUAUUUUUAUAAAUAUGAAAUCAUCUUUUAUAAAUCCAAAAAUAGAAUUUAUAUACAAAAAACAUUUUGUAAAAUCCAAAAUCGAUUUUAUAAAUAUAAAAAUAAAAAAAAAUUAAUAAAAAAGUUCUAAAUCAAUUCAACACAACAAAUUAUCCAACCAAAUCACAAUUCUAAACCUAUUACACAACCAAAUCACAAUCCUAACCAAUCACCCUAACAAAAAUCUAACAAAAAACUUCUAAAAUCAUCAAAUCUACUUAAAAACCUAACAAAUAGAACCUAAGAGAGUGGGAUAGGGUCCUUACAUGAUUUGUGUAGGAAUAGAGAGGAUUCGCCGGAGAGAUCGUCGCGAGAGAAGGGGGAAAUCGCCGGAAAAAGAGAGAGAUCGCCGGAGGAAGAAGAGAGAAAUGGGGGAAGAAGAAGUGUUGCGUGUCUAUAAAACCUAGGGUCCGACGGAAACUAUCCGUCGGAAUUUCCUUGGUAUUUUCAAUUUCAAUUUUCGCAAAAUAUUUGGCGGCUUGUUUGCCCG
rnacentral:lncRNA from 1 species